AGAGAUGUGUGAUGACGCAUAUCAAUAAGCGGAGGAAAAGAAACUAACAAGGAUUCCCUUAGUAACGGCGAGUGAAGCGGGAGGAGCUCAAAUUUGAAAUCUUCAAGGUUCUACCUUGACGAAUUGUAGUUUAUAGAAGUGUUUUCUGUUAGUAGAGUGGCAAAAGUUCUUUGGAAUAGGACAUCAUAGAGGGUGAGAAUCCCGUAUUUGGUCAUUCUUUCUAGCUUUGUGAUACACUUUCAACGAGUCGGAUUGUUUGGAAUGCAGUCCAAAAUGGGUGGUAAAUUUCAUCUAAAGCUAAAUAUUGGCGAGAGACCGAUAGCGAACAAGUACCGUGAGGGAAAGAUGAAAAGAACUUUGAAAAGAGAGUUAAACAGUACGUGAAAUUGUCAAAAGGGAAGCGUUUGACACCAGUGUUGUUUUUCCGAAAAUCAAUUACGAAUGUUUUAUUUUUGAGGAGUUAUGACUUCAUCGGCUUGCUCCUUUCUUUAUGAAACUUUCUUAAUGCACUUUUCGGUUAACAAGUCAACAUCAAUUUCUUUUGUUGUAAAAGAGUAUUGGGAAGGUGGCUUUCUUUUCGGAGAAAGUGUUUAUAGCCCUUUACUUCUGCAAUCGGAGAGAUUGAGGUCUGCAGCGUAGAUCCUUCGGGGUUAGAUACAUUUGUGCUAAGCUAUAGCUUUUCAUAGACAACUUGUUGAUUAUGAUUAGUCUUGUAGCUUACUCGCUUAUGCUAUUUUACCUACGCUUAGGAUGUUGACAGCAGUAUAGACUGU
rnacentral:rRNA from 1 species